rnacentral:rRNA from 1 species
CCUACGGGUGGCAGCAGUGGGGAAUAUUGCGCAAUGGGGGAAACCCUGACGCAGCAACGCCGCGUGAGUGAAGACGUAUCUCGGUAUGUAAAGUUCUAUCAGCGGGGAAGAAGGAAGACGGUACCCGACUAAGAAGCCCCGGCUAACUACGUGCCAGCAGCCGCGGUAAUACGGAGGGGGCAAGCGUUAUCCGGAUUUACUGGGUGUACAGGGAGCGUAGACGGCGUCGCAAGUCUGAAGUGAAAGCCCGGGGCUCAACCGCGGAACCGCUUUGGAAACUGCGUGGCUGGAGUGCUGGAGAGGUAAGCAGAAUUCCUGGUGUAGCGGUGAAAUGCGUAGAUAUCAGGAGGAAAACCGGUGGCGAAGGCGGCUUACUGGACAGUGACUGACGUUGAGGCGCGAAAGCGUGGGGAGCGAACAGGAUUAGAUACCCUUGUAGUC